rnacentral:rRNA from 1 species
UACGAAGGGGGCUAGCGUUGUUCGGCAUUACUGGGCGUAAAGCGCACGCAGGCGGAUUUAUAAGUCAGGGGUGAAAUCCCGGGGCUCAACCUCGGAAUUGCCUUUGAUACUGUCUAUCUUGAGUCCGGGAGAGGUGAGUGGAAUUCCUAGUGUAGAGGUGAAAUUCGUAGAUAUUAGGAAGAACACCAGUGGCGAAGGCGGCUCACUGGCCCGGUACUGGCGCUCAUGUGCGAAAGCGGGGGGAGCAAACAGG